CCUACGGGUGGCUGCAGUGAGGAAUAUUGGUCAAUGGCCGGAAGGCUGAACCAGCCAAGCCGCGUGAGGGAGGAAGGCGCAGAGCGUCGCAGACCUCUUUUGCCGGGGGACAAACCGCCGGACUCGUCCGGUCCUGAGGGUACCCGGAGAAAAAGCAUCGGCUAACUCCGUGCCAGCAGCCGCGGUAAUACGGAGGAUGCGAGCGUUAUCCGGAUUUAUUGGGUUUAAAGGGUGCGCAGGCGGGCCUUCAAGUCAGCGGUGAAAUCGCGGGGCUCAACCCCGCCGAGCCGUUGAAACUGGGGGCCUUGAGUGCGCGGGAGGCAUGCGGAAUGCGCGGUGUAGCGGUGAAAUGCAUAGAUAUCGCGCAGAACCCCGAUUGCGAAGGCAGCAUGCCGUGGCGCAACUGACGCUGAGGCACGAAAGCGCGGGGAUCGAACAGGAUUAGAUACCCUGGUAGUC
rnacentral:rRNA from 1 species